GGAGGGAUGGCUCAGUGGUUAAGGGCACUUAAUACUUGAAGAGGACCUGGGUUUGAGUCCCAGCCCCCACA
rnacentral:tRNA from 1 species